rnacentral:tRNA from 21 species
GGGCGCGUAGCUCAGCGGGAGAGCACUACGUUGACAUCGUAGGGGUCGCUGGUUCAAUCCCAGCCGCGCCCACCA